AAUAAUUUAUUAUAUUCAAACAAUUGAUAUAGUAAAAUUACCUCUCUAUUUAUUGUUUCCUACGAUAUAUGCCAAGUCAAAAGUGGACAAGUAUUUAUAGACGGAGGGAGUAGCAUUUCUUGGAUACUCAAUGGACCAAAGAGAUGAAUUGGAUUCCUGAACAUAAUUUUUAUAAAAUCAUAUACUCAUGAAAAAUAUACAUCAGGUCUUGCGAAGAAGUUAGUUAGAGUUUGUUAUUUACAGAUAGACACUCGUACAUUCUAUUCUUCGUCUUGUAGCUCAACCAUAUUUGUAUUUAGCCAUUCAUGAUCAAUAAAGAAAUCACUCAAUAAAUCUUCCCAAUAAUUGUUCUUCUAAUUCUAAUACUGAAAGUAUGUGUAUAUAUAUCUCUGCCUCACAAAGAACUGAUUGGUGCAAAUUUUGAAAUGGUUUUUAUUUUUUUAUUUUUUUAAAUGUGACUUAGUAUAUUGGGGAGUAGCAUUAAUUGUUGUAGGAUUCAGUAAUUGGGUGUAUAGAUGGAGAAAUCCUUAACGUGAAGGUUUUUGCCUCCUGGUUCUAUGGGCCUGCCCAUUAUUAGUACAAAGUAUACAUAUUUUGUAAACUAGAUGACCCAAAUGUAUUGGACUGUAAUUUUCUCUUAGAAUUACUAUAUGGUGUCACCAGAGUGGGUGCAAAUAAGUCGCACAUUAGGAAGAGACAAACUGUAUAUAUAUUCUCCAAAAUUUUCUUAGUAUGAAUCAUGGUUUAAUUUCUUGAAAUGAAUUUAAAUGCAAAACAUGGUCAGUGAAUUGAUAUAUACGGUCGACCCAAACUUGUUUAGGACUGACUUACAUACUGAUUCUUGUUUAAUCAUGGUAUAAUUCACAACUAAAAGAAGAAAUAGAUUUCCAAGGGACCUUUCAUGUGAAAUAGUGAAUUUAGAGCAUCCUAUUGAACAAGCUUUGUUGAUUUUGCAGAUAUUCAGGACUAGUUUAGUUAGCCAUCCAGUGGUCGUAUCUAUUGAUCCAGAAGUGAAUAAUUACUAUGUGUUCCAACAAGAGGAAGUGUUGCUCCAAUGUUGGUACACAAAGAGUUCUAGCGAUAUAACUGGAAAAGAUGCCAGAUGGUUUUAUUGACAAUAAAGGAACUGUUCAUAGGUACCUUAGAAAUUUAGUUCUAAGCCUCAUUGGCUCUCAUAAGCUAAAGAACAACCAUAUUUCUGAAAUUGACCUUAACAUUCGUAAACGAUGGGCUGUCCAGGACGAGGUUGACGUCAAAGAAGCAUCUGAAAUUGUGAUAAUCGAUCUCUUAUUCAUUUCGAAAGAACACAUUUUUGUUUUUUUAAUUAUAUGUUGUGUCUCAAAAAGCUGCAAGUUGAUUUUGAUAUGUACGUAUAAAUAAUCCAGAUGCUAAUCACAUUUAUGGCCAAGAAGAUGCUGGGAUGUGAUGAACAAAAAGCAUUGGAAUUCAGGAAGCACUACAAAGCUUUCAUGGAUGGAUUCGUGUGUUUUCCCAUUUAUCUCUUAUCAUGUCUCUUUACAGGUAAACUAUCCAAAUUUGUUAAGUGGUGAUUCAGGGGCGUAAAAAAGCGAUGAAUAUGAUCAAAGAUAUUUUGGAGGAGAGAAAAUCAUCAACGGGAAAAGGAAAGAAAGAAGAUUUCUUGGAUGACAUCCUUGGUGAAGUAGUAGGAAAGAAGAUUCAUGUGUGUAAUCUUCUUUACUGCUUAUUUCAUCCAAGUUGUCCUCCAGGAAGAACACGACAACAUUCUUAGAAACUGAGAGGACAAAGAGUCUGCCAUUUCAUCGGCAGAAUACAAAUCCACGACUUUCGCGCAUAAGGUGAACAUUAUUUUCCAUAUGUUACUAUCUGUCUUCUUAUACUGUUAGUACAAACUUAUCUUUUUCUUUCUUGUUACUAAUGAUUAAGAACUGAGCUGGAUGCAGGUUGUUAAUGAAAUAGUAAGGCUAUCCAAUAUCGUGCCAGGUAUUUUCAGAAAAGUAGUCAAUGAUGUCAAAAUAGAAGGUCAUACCAUAUCCUGUCUAUUUGGUUUUAACUGUCAUGCAUCUACUCAUGCCACUGGAAGUUGCUCAUUUGCUAUACUACUACUACUACUACAACCAGUUUAUCUUUCUCAUUCGCUUGCUUCAUAAUACUGAAGUCGUUAAAUAAUUGGGUGCAGGAUUCACAAUUCCAGCAGGCUGGAUAGUGCUAGUGUGUCCGCCAUCAGUUCAUCUUGAUUCAAAUAACUACGAGGACCCUCAUGUCUUCAAUCCAUGGCGUUGGAAGGCAAGUGUCUUCAAUCUUGAUUCACAUCUCAUUUUCUUUUCAUGUACUAAUAACAUUAUAGAAUGGACUUGCGGGAAUCCACAAGUGCAUCCAACAAGUUCAUGGCGUUUGGUGGGGGUCUCAGACUAUGUGCUUGAGCUGAUCUCUCCAAGCUGCAAAUAUCAUUUUUUUUCUCCAUUACUUGGUCACUGAGUUCAGAUAGAUCAUGAAAAAAGAAGGGAACAUUGUGCGGAAACCGGGCUUAUGUUUCCGGAUGGAUUGCACAUCCAAAUCUCUGAAAGAAACAAACAAGAAGGUGAUCAAAGCAAGUGCUUAUGAGCAGUUGAUAGUAUUUAAUUUUAUGUUAUAACAGUUGUUAUCUAUGUGUGAGACAAGUUGUAUGGAGACCAAUUACUAGUUAGAGUUCCCUGAUAUCUGUACUUGGCUAUUUUUCUUUGGUUUACGCAUUCCAGUAUCAAAAUCUCCCAGUAUUUUGUCACAUUGUAAUUAACUUAUUAAAUGAAAUUAAAGAGUGAAACUUUCUUCAUAGAAA